GCGGUUCGUCGCGUCGAAUGUGGAAACCCGGGGCUCAACUCCGGGCCUGCAUUCGAUACGGGCGGACUAGAGUUCGGUAGGGGAGACUGGAAUUCCUGGUGUAGCGGUGAAAUGCGCAGAUAUCAGGAGGAACACCGGUGGCGAAGGCGGGUCUCUGGGCCGAUACUGACGCUGAGGAGCGAAAGCGUGGGGAGCGAACAGGAUUAGAUACCCUGGUAGUCCACGCCGUAAACGGUGGGCGCUAGGUGUGGGGAUCUUCCACGAUCUCUGUGCCGCAGCUAACGCAUUAAGCGCCCCGCCUGGGGAGUACGGCCGCAAGGCUAAAACUCAAAGGAAUUGACGGGGGCCCGCACAAGCGGCGGAGCAUGCUGAUUAAUUCGAUGCAACGCGAAGAACCUUACCAAGGCUUGACAUACACCGGAAACUUCCAGAAAUGGUUGCCCCGCAAGGUCGGUGUACAGGUGGUGCAUGGUUGUCGUCAGCUCGUGUCGUGAGAUGUUGGGUUAAGUCCCGCAACGAGCGCAACCCUCGUCUUAUGUUGCCAGCACGUUAUGGUGGGGACUCAUAAGAGACUGCCGGGGUCAACUCGGAGGAAGGUGGGGAUGAGGUCAAAUCAUCAUGCCCCUUAUGUCUUGGGCUUCAAGCAUGCUACAAUGGCCGGUACAAAGGGCUGCGAUACCGCGAGGUGGAGCGAAUCCCAAAAAGCCGGUCUCAGUUCGGAUUGGGGUCUGCAACUCGACCCCAUGAAGUCGGAGUCGCUAG
rnacentral:rRNA from 1 species